GUGGCGUGGUAUUGAGCUGGGCGGGUAUCCUGGUCCGUGCAGCUAACCAGUGUGUCGGGUGCAGGCCGGGUCGUUCGGGCGAAGUGGUGAGAUGACGCAGUUAGUGACGACCGAACCGUUGAUGAUGAUGAUAAUGAUGAUAAUGGUGAUGCGGUGCAGUGUCAAGUAGAAAGGGGGCCUUACCAUAGGAUUAAGCCCUCUUUGUAAACGGCUGAAAGCACGGGGAAAAAAUCACAACGCCUCGACGUCGGCGUCGAAGAAGACGGUGCGAUUAGAACGAGAGUAGCGACAGUGGAGCGAGCAAGGGGGUUGAGAAUCACGAGCGUUCAAGAUGGCGCCAGGUGCAAGUCCCAGAAAGGGACUGAACAGCCUCAGUAAAGAUGGAUGACAACUCGGGACGUUUCGAGUGCUGAGCUGAGAGCUGACCUCUCUGUUAUGUUCGAGUUGUAAUCGAUACUGAACCGGUGCUUCCCGUUAACCACUCAGAUCGAAUUCACGCCAGCAGACGAUCGCGGUGGUUGCAGAAAUAAGCCUCGGCUUGAUCCUGUCAGAAAAAUCAGCCAUUAAAAUGUGUGUGUGUGUGUGUGUGUACAGAAGUACGUUGCGUUCGUACAUAUCUGUGUGCAUGUCUGCGUAUUAUUAUUGAUUCGUGAGUGUCCAAAUUAAUAAAUUUCGCUAGUUAUUUGUGGCUGUUAACGAAGGCAGUUCCAAUACAAAUAUAAUAACUUAAAUUGCGAGAUUUAAGGUUCUCAGGGCGAUGAGUAUGAAGACGGUUGCCUUCUGGCAUGUUACUGCAUGUAAUCUGGUAGAUAUUAACGGUCGUUUCAGAGGAGCUAUCUAUAUCUAGUCAACUAAAAUAAUUUUCACAGCAUGUAACGUACCUCCAUGGAUGUUUCCAGCGUCAUCAUCAAAUGAUGGCACUGAUUAGGGCAUACUGUAAGAAAGACGAACCCAAAUCCGUGGAUAAAUAAUGUCAUUUUUAUUUGUUUGUGUAAUAUUAUUUAAUUAAAUCCAGAUCACGUCUCGUUGAA